ACAGUGGACGCGAGCAUCUGUGGCCAAGUUUUUAAGGGCGCACGGUGGAUGCCUUGGCACCAGGAACCGAUGAAGGACGUGGGAGGCCACGAUAGGCCCCGGGGAGUCGUCAACCAGGCUUUGAUCCGGGGGUGUCCGAAUGGGGAAACCCGGCAGUCGUCAUGGGCUGUCACCCGCUGCUGAACACAUAGGCAGUGUGGAGGGAACGCGGGGAAGUGAAACAUCUCAGUACCCGCAGGAAGAGAAAACAACCGUGAUUCCGGGAGUAGUGGCGAGCGAAACCGGAUGAGGCCAAACCGUAUACGUGUGAGACCCGGCAGGGGUUGCGUGUGCGGGGUUGUGGGAUCUCUCUUUUACGGUCUGCCGGCCGUGAGACGAGUCAGAAACCGUUGAUGUAGGCGAAGGACAUGCGAAAGGUCCGGCGUAGAGGGUAAGACCCCCGUAGUCGAAACGUCAACGGCUCGUUUGAGAGACACCCAAGUAGCACGGGGCCCGAGAAAUCCCGUGUGAAUCUGGCGGGACCACCCGCUAAGCCUAAAUAUUCCCUGGUGACCGAUAGCGGAUAGUACCGUGAGGGAAUGGUGAAAAGUACCGCGGGAGCGGAGUGAAAUAGUACCUGAAACCGUGUGCCUACAAGCCGUGGGAGCGUCGGNNNNNNNNNNNNNNNNNNGUGGGGAAGCCGUAGCGAAAGCGAGUCCGAAUAGGGCGUUUUUAGUAGCACGCUCAAGACCCGAAGCGGAGUGAUCUAGCCAUGGGCAGGUUGAAGCGGCUGUAAGAGGUCGUGGAGGACCGAACCCACCAGGGUUGAAAACCUGGGGGAUGACCUGUGGUUAGGGGUGAAAGGCCAAUCAAACUCCGUGAUAGCUGGUUCUCCCCGAAAUGCAUUUAGGUGCAGCGUCGUGUGUUUCUUGCCGGAGGUAGAGCACUGGAUAGGCGAUGGGCCCUACCGGGUUACUGACCUUAGCCAAACUCCGAAUGCCGGUAAGUGAGAGCGCGGCAGUGAGACUGUGGGGGAUAAGCUCCAUGGUCGAGAGGGAAACAGCCCAGAGCAUCGACUAAGGCCCCUAAGCGUACGCUAAGUGGGAAAGGAUGUGGAGUCGCACAGACAACCAGGAGGUUGGCUUAGAAGCAGCCACCCUUGAAAGAGUGCGUAAUAGCUCACUGGUCUAGUGAUUCCGCGCCGACAAUGUAGCGGGGCUCAAGCGUACCGCCGAAGUCGUGUCAUUGCAGCAAUACGGCCAACGCCGGCUGUGAUGGGUAGGGGAGCGUCGUGUGCCGGGUGAAGCAGCCGCGGAAGCGAGUUGUGGACGGUUCACGAGUGAGAAUGCAGGCAUGAGUAGCGAUACAAACGUGAGAAACGUUUGCGCCGAUUGACUAAGGGUUCCUGGGUCAAGCUGAUCUGCCCAGGGUAAGUCGGGACCUAAGGCGAGGCCGACAGGCGUAGUCGAUGGAUAACCGGUUGAUAUUCCGGUACCCGCUGUGAAGCGUCAAACAUCGAGCAUCGUGAUGCUAAGGCCGUGAAGCCGCCCUGAUCUCUUCGGAGUUGAGGGGAGUGGUGGAGCCGCCGAACCAAGCGGUUAGUAGGUGAGUGAUGGGGUGACGCAGGAAGGUAGUCCAUCCCGGGCGGUGGUUGUCCCGGGGUAAGGGUGUAGGNNNNNNNNNCUGAGACCUGAUGCCGAGCCGAUUGUGGUGAAGUGGAUGAUCCUAUGCUGUCGAGAAAAGCCUCUAGCGAGUUUCAUGGCGGCCCGUACCCUAAACCGACUCAGGUGGUCAGGUAGAGAAUACCGAGGCGUUCGGGUGAACUAUGGUUAAGGAACUCGGCAAAAUGCCCCCGUAACUUCGGGAGAAGGGGGGCCACACCUGGUGACGAGUUUUGCACUCUGAGCUGGGGGUGGCCGCAGAGACCAGCGAGAAGCGACUGUUUACUAAAAACACAGGUCCGUGCGAAGCCGUAAGGCGAUGUAUACGGACUGACGCCUGCCCGGUGCUGGAACGUUAAGGGGACCGGUUAGUCACAUUUCGGUGUGGCGAAGCUGAGAACUUAAGCGCCAGUAAACGGCGGUGGUAACUAUAACCAUCCUAAGGUAGCGAAAUUCCUUGUCGGGUAAGUUCCGACCUGCACGAAUGGCGUAACGACUUCUCGACUGUCUCAACCAUAGGCCCGGUGAAAUUGCACUACGAGUAAAGAUGCUCGUUUCGCGCAGCAGGACGGAAAGACCCCGGGACCUUUACUACAGUUUGAUAUUGGUGUUCGGUUCGGCUUGUGUAGGAUAGCUGGGAGACUUUGAAGCUCGCACGCCAGUGUGGGUGGAGUCGUCGUUGAAAUACCAGUCUGGUCGUGCUGGAUGUCUAACCUGGGUCCGUGAUCCGGAUCAGGGACAGUGUCUGAUGGGUAGUUUAACUGGGGCGGUUGCCUCCUAAAGAGUAACGGAGGCGCCCAAAGGUUCCCUCAGCCUGGUUGGCAAUCAGGUGUUGAGUGUAAGUGCACAAGGGAGCUUGACUGUGAGACCGACGGGUCGAGCAGGGACGAAAGUCGGGACUAGUGAUCCGGCGGUGGCUUGUGGAAGCGCCGUCGCUCAACGGAUAAAAGGUACCCCGGGGAUAACAGGCUGAUCUUCCCCAAGAGUCCAUAUCGACGGGAUGGUUUGGCACCUCGAUGUCGGCUCGUCGCAUCCUGGGGCUGGAGUCGGUCCCAAGGGUUGGGCUGUUCGCCCAUUAAAGCGGUACGCGAGCUGGGUUUAGAACGUCGUGAGACAGUUCGGUCCCUAUCCGCUGUGCGCGUAGGAGUCUUGAGAAGGGCUGUCCCUAGUACGAGAGGACCGGGACGGACGAACCUCUGGUGUGCCAGUUGUCCUGCCAAGGGCAUGGCUGGUUGGCUACGUUCGGGAGGGAUAACCGCUGAAAGCAUCUAAGCGGGAAGCCUGCUUCGAGAUGAGGACUCCCACCCCCUUGAGGGGUUAAGGCUCCCAGUAGACGACUGGGUUGAUAGGCCGGAUCUGGAAGCACCGUGAGGUGUGGAGGUGACCGGUACUAAUAGGCCGAGGGCUUGUCCUCAGUUG
rnacentral:rRNA from 1 species